rnacentral:rRNA from 1 species
AUUGAACGCUGGCGGCAUGCUUUACGCAUGCAAGUCGAACGGUAACAGGGUGCUUGCACCGCUGACGAGUGGCGAACGGGUGAGUAAUGCGUCGGAACGUGCCGAGUAGUGGGGGAUAACGCAGCGAAAGUUGUGCUAAUACCGCAUACGUACUGAGGUAGAAAGUGGGGGACCUUCGGGCCUCACGCUAUUCGAGCGUCCGACGUCUGAUUAGCUAGUAGGUGAGGUAAAGGCUCACCUAGGCGACGAUCAGUAGCGGGUCUGAGAGGAUGGCCCGCCACACUGGGACAGAGACACGGCCCAGACUCCUGCGGGAGGCAGCAGUGGGGAAUUUUGGACAAUGGGCGAGAGCCUGAUCCAGCCAUGCCGCGUGUCUGAAGAAGGCCUUCGGGUCGUAAAGGACUUUUGUCGGGGAGGAAAUCCCCAGCGUUAAUACCGCUGGGGGAUGACAGUACCUGAAGAAUAAGCACCGGCUAACUACGUGCCAGCCGCCGCCGUAAGAC